rnacentral:lncRNA from 1 species
UGCAUAGAAGGAGAAGACGUGGAGCCUUAUGGAGGGAGUGGGAAGGGAUUUGAAGGAUAGGCAUGCACAUUUGCUCUGGCUUAGCAGCUCAGCAGGUUCGUCUCCUGGCCACUGUCCGUGAUUUUCCAAAAACACCUCUGAAAACAUUCACAUUUGUCCUUAACAGCCCUGGACCAGUUCGUUAGCGAAUCUGAUUUGGGGGGAGGAGCUGAUGCUGAUUUUCAUGGAGGCAAGAGAGUGCUGCUGGUCGGGGGAAGAUGGUCAUUUCAAACCCCUCUCCCCCGUUAGGGAAUAAAUGCCAUCUGAAGAGGCUGCUACCUCAAAUGGCUCCGGGUGGCAGUGGAGAGGACACAAAGGCGUUCCAGUUGCAGACCUGGAUAUUCUUCUGCUAGGACAGUGAGUCUAGUGACAUUGGAACCAGGGUGUCUGCCAAAGCCAGCUCUGUCCUUGCUGCUUCCCCACUCUCUGGUGACAGCUAGCUCUGCGUCUGUGAAACAACAGGCUACGAUAAUACACGGAGGAGAAUCUUCUCACUGUGGGAUACAAGCAACAUUGAAACAUUGAAACCUUCAAGAACAAAGCACCAAGGACAGUUAUAAGAAACCCUGGGAGCCAUGGGAGACUAUUUGCCAUAGACUCUUGAAGUUUCAGCACUGGAAAAAGUCACACGUAAAAUAAAAAAGGAAACAUCUUUACCACAAAAUC